UCUCCGUUGGUGAACCAGCGGAGGGAUCAUUACAGAGUAUCUUUUAGAACUCCAAACCACUGUGAACAUACCACUGUUGCUUCGGCGGGCUCCCGGCCGCGGCGUGUAAAAGCCCGUGGCCCCCCGCCGGAGGACCCAAACUCUGAUUUCCAGCGGAUCUUCUGAGUAUAUAUAUAAGCAAUCAAAACUUUCAGCAACGGAUCUCUUGGCUCUG
rnacentral:misc_RNA from 1 species